AUGACCGGACCGUUCCAAUAAGGACCGGCUAACUCCGCGCCAGCAGCCGCGGUAAUACGGAGGGUCCGAGCGUUAUCCGGAAUCAUUGGGUUUAAAGGGUCCGCAGGCGGACAAUUAAGUCAAGGGUGAAAUGGUACGGCUCAACCGUAGCACUGCCCUUGAUACUGGUUGUCUUGAGUCAUAGUGGAGUGGGCGGAAUAUGUAGUGUAGCGGUGAAAUGCAUAGAUAUUACAUAGAACACCGAUCGCGAAGGCAGGUCACUAACUAUCGACUGACGCUGAUGGACGAAAGCGUGGGGAGCGAACAGGAUUAGAUACCCUGGUAGUCCACGCCGUACACGAUGGAUACUAGCUGUCGGGACUUUUA
rnacentral:rRNA from 1 species